rnacentral:rRNA from 1 species
GAUGAACGCUGGCGGCGUGCCUAAUACAUGCAAGUCGAACGGAGAGAUUGUAGCAAUACGGUCUCUUAGUGGCGAACGGGUGAGUAACGCGUUGGUGACCUGCCCCGAAGUGUGGGAUAACAGUUCGAAAGAAUUGCUAAUACCGCAUGUGGUCCCUGGCUUUAGAAACCAGUGACUAAAGGAGUAAUUCGCUUCGGGAUGGACCUGCGUCCCAUCAGCUAGUUGGUAGGGUAACGGCCUACCAAGGCAUUGACGGGUAAGGGACCUGAGAGGGUGGUCCCUCACAAUGGCACUGAAACACGGGCCAUACACCUACGGGUGGCAGCAGUAGGGAAUAUUGGGCAAUGGACGAAAGUCUGACCCAGCAACGCCGCGUGUGCGACGAAGGUCUUCGGAUCGUAAAGCACUUUUCUGGGAGAUGAGAAAGGACAGUAUCCCAGGAAUAAGUCUCGGCUAACUACGUGCCAGCCGCCGCAGUAACAC